rnacentral:rRNA from 1 species
UACGUAGGGUGCAGGCGUUAAUCGGAAUUACUGGGCGUAAAGCGUGCGCAGGCGGUUUCUUAAGUCAGAUGUGAAAGCCCCGGGCUUAACCUGGGAACUGCGUUUGAAACUGGGAGACUUGAGUGUGGCAGAGGGGGGUGGAAUUCCACGUGUAGCAGUGAAAUGCGUAGAUAUGUGGAGGAAUACCGAUGGCGAAGGCAGCCCCCUGGGAUAACACUGACGCUCAUGCACGAAAGCGUGGGGAGCAAACAGG